rnacentral:tRNA from 1 species
CAAAGUAGAGCUUGUAGGAAGCAGCUCAUUUACACUGAGUAGGAUUAGUGCAAAUCUAAUUAUUUUGA